AUUUACUGCUCUCAGUUGUAAUAGAGUGAGUGAAAAUGUCUCUGUUAAAGCUCUUGAAUUUUCAUCACAUUCUAAUGCUGUCUGUAUUCACUGGAGCAGCUAAUGGAUAUUAUUGCUACCAGUCGUCACAGUGCAUCUACAGCUCCCCUGAUCUCAGUGACAUGGUGUACAUUGAAGGCUUUUACUUCAAUAAAUAUCUAUUCGUGAAGUUCAACAGCACUGUGGGGAAGUUUGUGGGGUUUACAGAGUUUGGAAUGAGAAAUGCAGAGAUCUGGAACAAUGAUACAAACUACUUACAGAUGACCAGAGCUCAAGUUGAUAGAUUCUGCAGACAUAAUGCUGAACUUAUGGAAGUAGCUAUCUAUAAUAAAACAGUGCAGCCGAAGGUGAAGCUCAGUUCAGUGAUGCCAGGCGACAGCAAACAUCCAGCUCUGGUCAUGUGCAGCGUGUACGACUUCUACCCUCAACCAAUCAAAGUGUCCUGGUUGAAGGAUGGUGUAGUGGUGACUUCUGAUGUGACCUCCACUAAGGAGCUGCCUAAUGGAGACUGGUACUAUCAGAUUCACUCUGAGCUGGCAUACACUCCCAAAUCUGGAGAGAAGAUCUCCUGUGUGGUGGAGCACACCAGCUUCACCAAACCCAUGAUCUAUGACUGGAACCCUCCGGCCCCUGAGUUUGAGUGGAAUAUUCAACUAUUAUUCACUAUUGAAUCUGUUGCAUUGCUGCUGGGAAUCAUCAUAGCAGCUGCUGGAUUCAUUUACUUCAAGAUCAAAUCAACAGGUCUGUAGAGAGAAGAUCCUGGUACCACAUUAAUUAAUGAUGAUAAGUUUUACAUUUUACUCAGGUGCUCAUACUGACUGAAAGGAACCUCAUCAUGGAGAAGCACAAGCACAAACUCUUCAUGACAACUAUCAUACACAGUCUAACUCUUCAAAUGAUAUUUCAAAAUAAAACAUGAUGAUGUAAAUAGAAUGAUAGCCCUGUAUGUGAUCGAUAUUUCUGGCUAAUUUUUAGGCGAUAUUGACAGUAAUAAUGUGAAUGAUUGAUGGAAUUACACUUUCUCCUCUUGUUCUUUCCACUGCGUCAGUUCCCUCCCUCCUUCUACAUCUUUCACUCUUUCUCUCCUCCUCACCCUCCACUUCCCACUCCACCACCUCUUCUUAUUCUUGUUCUUUCUCCACUUUCCACUAACAUUUGUUUGCUCUGGGAAUUCACAUCCCCAUUUAUAGUUCAUUUAUAGCUGUGUAAGCAGUUUAAUAAAACGCAUUUUCUGUGCA